GACGAACGCUGGUGGCGUGCUUAACACAUGCAAGUCGAACGGAAAGGCCCUGCUUUUGUGGGGUGCUCGAGUGGCGAACGGGUGAGUAACACGUGAGUAACCUGCCCUUGACUUUGGGAUAACUUCAGGAAACUGGGGCUAAUACCGGAUAGGAGCUCCUGCUGCAUGGUGGGGGUUGGAAAGUUUCGGCGGUUGGGGAUGGACUCGCGGCUUAUCAGCUUGUUGGUGGGGUAGUGGCUUACCAAGGCUUUGACGGGUAGCCGGCCUGAGAGGGUGACCGGCCACAUUGGGACUGAGAUACGGCCCAGACUCCUACGGGAGGCAGCAGUGGGGAAUAUUGCACAAUGGGCGGAAGCCCGAUGCAGCAACGCCGCGUGCGGGAUGACGGCCUUCGGGUUGUAAACCGCUUUCGCCUGUGACGAAGCGUGAGUGACGGUAAUGGGUAAAGAAGCACCGGCUAACUACGUG
rnacentral:rRNA from 1 species